GACGUAGGGGGCGAGCGUUGUCCGGAUUUAUUGGGCGUAAAGAGCGCGCAGGCGGUCGUUCAAGUCGAGUGUGAAAGCCCCCGGCUCAACUGGGGAGGGUCACUCGAUACUGAUCGACUCGAAGGCAGGAGAGGGAAGUGGAAUUCCCGGUGUAGUGGUGAAAUGCGUAGAUAUCGGGAGGAACACCAGUGGCGAAGGCGGCUUCCUGGCCUGUUCUUGACGCUGAGGCGCGAAAGCUAGGGGAGCAAACGGG
rnacentral:rRNA from 1 species